AUUGAACGCUGGCGGCAUGCCUUACACAUGCAAGUCGAACGGUAACAGGUCUUCGGACGCUGACGAGUGGCGAACGGGUGAGUAAUACAUCGGAACGUGCCCAGUCGUGGGGGAUAGCUACUCGAAAGAGUAGCUAAUACCGCAUACGAUCUGAGGAUGAAAGCGGGGGACCUUCGGGCCUCGCGCGAUUGGAGCGGCCGAUGGCAGAUUAGGUAGUUGGUGGGAUAAAAGCUUACCAAGCCGACGAUCUGUAGCUGGUCUGAGAGGACGACCAGCCACACUGGACUGAGACACGGCCCAGACUCCUACGGGAGGCAGCAGUGGGGAAUUUUGGACAAUGGGCGAAAGCCUGAUCCAGCAAUGCCGCGUGCAGGAUGAAGGCCUUCGGGUUGUAAACUGCUUUUGUACGGAACGAAAAAGCUCCUUCUAAUACAGGGGGCCCAUGACGGUACCGUAAGAAUAAGCACCGGCUAACUACGUGCCAGCCGCCGCAGUAA
rnacentral:rRNA from 1 species